UUCAUCUCUAUAAGUACUCUUUGAUAAAAGUAAACGCAUUCUCAUGCACCCUUACAAACCCUAACAUUAUAGUUACAUUCUUUACAUGCCUGUUCACUCCUAAGAAGUCGAUGCUUAUUCUCAUGCUAGUUCCUUAAACACGAUUGACAGUGUCAGUUUUAUAGAAAUCAUUAUUCCAAUAUCCUUGAAGAUAUUCGGUUGAAGCCAAGUACCCACUCAGAACCCAUUCUGGCAUUUGUUUCUUUAAUUCUCUCCUCUAUUGGCAAAGCGUUCAUGUUGACAGUGAAGAAAUUCUUCUUCUUUUUUUUUACUUUGGAAAUACUAAUGAAGCCAUAACUCAUGAUAACCAGACCUCACGAAGAAGUUCAUACCUAGCGUUGACCGCGAUACAGGUGAUGAGUUUCUAUUCAACUGGGAUUGUUUUGCACCAGCUUCGGAUGCUUUUUGAGAAACAUCAAUGGAGGAAGGAGGUUUGUAUAUGACUGGAGCAGCUGGGUAAGGGAAGCUGCUUAAAUUGUCCCCCGAUAAGCUGCGCUCUAUCAUUGCCUGCAUGGCCCGAGUCAAACGAUUAGUAAAACAGGUAACUUUUUGUAUGGAGAACACGUUUUAUCCAUAUUUAAAAAAAACUGUGACUGCAAAACACACGGAGAGUUGUGUGACGGAUCGGUUUAGGUCAAAAUGAGUAACAACUUUAAGGACAUGCCAAAAGAAGCGAGACAGGGUUAGGUGACGCACCGACACUUUUAGAAUUUUAUAAAUAAUUAGAUUGUUAAAACACAGUUAUGAAAACGGAGUUUAUAAAUAAUUAGAUUGUUAAAACACAAUUAUGAAAACGGAGUAAAUAUACCUUUAAAAAGAAAACUAUUUAUGGGAGUUUAAGCGUUUGAAUAAACUUCUAACGACUUUUGACAUGUUUACAACUUUUUUUUGAACAGCAAAGGUUACAUAACACUACUACUAAAUUACACCAAAUUUUACCACAUGCCAGGAAUUGAACCCUGGUCACUCCCCAAGAGACAAAGCCUCUACCACCCCACCAAAGUGGUGAUGGCAUUCAUCUACAACUAGUUUAGAGAACUUUACCGAUGUUAACUGUCAUUAAAAUCCAACCAGAACUGACACAAAAAAUCGGUUUAAACUGACACCUAAAUUAUAUUAAAAAAAAAACACUUUGAACAACUUUCAACUCAUUUGGCAUGUUACCUUUAACCAAUUUUUCUCUUUUUAUUUAUAUUUUAUUUUUACAUGUUAAAGAUAAAGCAUGAUAUGAAUUUGUUUAUAUAAAAUACUUGUCAACAAUAAAAGUAAACUAAAGUUAUACCUCAGCAUUUACUGCCUCCAAUACCGCACCAGGAACUGAAUCUGGACAAAAUUCAUCCGGCGUGAAGUUGCAGAGGAUUCGUUUAAGUAACGGAAGGCUGAUUGACGGGCAUACCUAUAUAUAUAAAAAAUAUAAAA
rnacentral:lncRNA from 1 species